CAAUAGCGUAUAUUAAAGUUGUUGCAGUUAGAACGCUCGUAGUCGGAUUUCGGGGCGGGCCGACCGGUCUGCCGAUGGGUAUGCACUGGUCGGCGCGUCCUUCCUUCCGGAGACCGUCCCUACUCUUAACUGAGCGGGGGCGGGAGACGGGACUUUUACUUUGAAAAAAUCAGAGUGUUUCAAGCAGGCAGCUCGCUCUUGCAUGGAUUAGCAUGGGAUAAUGAAAUAGGACUUUGGUGCUAUUUUGUUGGUUUCGAACACCGAAGUAAUGAUGAGAAGGGACAGUCAGGGGCACUCGUAUUCCGCCGAGAGAGGUGAAAUUCUCAGACCAGCGGAAGACGAACCACUGCGAAAGCAUCUGCCAGGGAUGUUUUCACUGA
rnacentral:rRNA from 1 species